rnacentral:misc_RNA from 1 species
AACGCACAUUGCGCUCUCUGGUAUUCCGGAGAGCACGCCUGUUCGAGCGCCAUUUCACCCCCCAAGCUUUGCUUGAUGUUGGAUGAAGCAGUCUAAUUCAUUGCUCAUCUCAAACUUCUUUGGCGUCAUCAGUUGAGCACCAGCGCAGCAAGAAAACCUUCGCUUCGUGUCUCAGCUGGCGGUUGUCGUGAUGUAUAUCAAUUCAUCAGAUUGGCCUCGGAUCAGGUGGGGAUACCCGCUGAACUUAA